GUAAAGCCAUAUAUUUUAUAUUCCUGCCUCCUUUUCUCCUCAGUCUGUGCCRUCUGUUCUAAUGCCGGAGCCUGCUGGAGCAGAGCRGGCCGGAGAAACCCACCAUUCUAAAGGACAAAGGCCYUGCUCAUGCAGCUGGUCCUAGGGAAGUACAAUGAACAGGCAGCCCCCCACCACCUGGUGAAGGACCAGGCCUGCAUGGAGCUCUUCAUCGAGGCCCUGGGCACGGUGUCUAAACCCUACCCUGAUAUCCCCUGCUUCCAGAUCAUCGCCCUAUAACGGGCAUUCUACUCAGCCCUGUGAGAUGAGAAGGUCCAGCAGAGACUCAUAGGGGUUUGACCUGCUGGUGGAGAGCAGGAGUGCUGUCUGUGCCCAGACCGUUGUCAGUGUCUUCAAACGGAGUGCUGUGGACGGCAUGCUAGUGGCUAACGAGCUAGACCCGCAGGWGYAAGAUGCUGCAGAG